CCUACGGGAGGCAGCAGUGAGGAAUAUUGGACAAUGGGCGCAAGCCUGAUCCAGCCAUGCCGCGUGCAGGAUGACGGUCCUAUGGAUUGUAAACUGCUUUUGUACAGGAAGAAACCCUUUUACGAGUAGAAGCUUGACGGUACUGUAAGAAUAAGGAUCGGCUAACUCCGUGCCAGCAGCCGCGGUAAUACGGAGGAUCCAAGCGUUAUCCGGAAUCAUUGGGUUUAAAGGGUCCGUAGGCGGUUUGAUAAGUCAGUGGUGAAAGCCCAUCGCUCAACGAUGGAACGGCCAUUGAUACUGUUAGACUUGAAUUAUUAGGAAGUAACUAGAAUAUGUAGUGUAGCGGUGAAAUGCUUAGAGAUUACAUGGAAUACCAAUUGCGAAGGCAGGUUACUACUAAUGGAUUGACGCUGAUGGACGAAAGCGUGGGUAGCGAACAG
rnacentral:rRNA from 1 species